ACGGUGGUCCCACCUGACCCCAUGCCGAACUCAGAAGUGAAACGCCGUAGCGCCGAUGGUAGUGUGGGGUCUCCCCAUGCGAGAGUAGGACACUGCCAGGC
rnacentral:rRNA from 1 species